rnacentral:lncRNA from 1 species
UUUUAAUGUAAGAGACUCAUCUCAGGGAUCAGAAACAUAGUCCCGGCCAGCAACUUGCUCCUUGUUGAAACAGAACAGAACAGAAGCAAGCAACAAGAACACAACAAUGAUGGAUUGUCAGGCUAAUUUUGUGUUGAAAGUAAAUUUCUGCACGGACCUGGAGGCAGGAAGAGGUCACACCUGGCCCUGUGUCUACUGUACUCUAGGUGUGGAGCUACUGUCAGUCACAGGCACACCUUGGCCAAAUUACACACAGCCUGGCUGCUUGCAGAACCACACCAGAAGUAUUAAACCAAAAACACCAUUUCAAACUAACAGCAAAUGGGCUGCUAUUCAUGCUUGCCAAAACUCUCUUGGUCCAAGCAAUUCUACACAUCUCUGAGGCAAAGAAAAAUUCAAGAUAAAGGCAAUGAGAGAAGAGAAAACAUAAACCACACUAAGAGAAGGGAAGAGAGAUGCAUGAGAUUAGCGAAGUUCAGAGGGCCUGCAUCUUCACCAAUACAAAAUGAUGCAAUGGCAGAGACUGCUACAUUUUCAGUCAAUUUCUAACCAAUUUCUUAGCUCUUCGUGGAUGUGUAGCUCAACAUUAAGCCCAGUUUCUGAAACGUCACAGCAAAGCAACCAGACAGUUAAUACCCCACCAAGAAGAAACCAUAACAAACUGAGGGCAUUUAUCCUCCUUACUGCCUACCAGCUCUGUCCUUGACCCCGAAAGACCAAUUUUGAACAAAUAGUAAAUUCUGGAAGACAAUAUGGAAAGAUCAUUCAUUCAUUCAGCAGCAGAGAAGCCCAAGCAAAAAGAAACAUUUAGAAAGGGCAAGAUGUGCUAAAUUUGAUCGACAGGUUGCAGCAUCUUGAUAGCUGUUAUCUUUUUUGCAAGAUUUGCAAAAGCAUUCCUCUACUCCUGGUCAUCCCCAGGCAUCCAGCCCUUCACUUCCUGAAAUCUACAACUGUUGUGGAUGUGGCCAUCUAUUGCUAGUCCCCAGGAGUCUAAACAGCAAGUUAGCGACAUGGUGCUUGAAGGAAUCAGGGAUAAACAAACCAGGCUUCAGGUUAAGUCAACAAAAGUAUUCUCACUAUUGCUGAAAAGCCUCGUCACCAUAUUCUCUUGACACGGAGAAUCUGUAAGAGCUCUAAUGGAUUUCCUGAAUGAAGGAAACUCUCUGCUGCAGGCCAAACACAAUUUUUGAUUAACAUCCAAACAACUAGUCUAUCAUGAACACCCAGAUGGUUUCUGGUAAAGAAAUUCUUUCAUUUCCUUUUGGUUUCUAAUAAAAAAAUAAAGAAUUGAAUAACA